rnacentral:lncRNA from 1 species
GGUAGCACUCUUAACCUGCGGUUCAAAUUCCUUUGUGAUGUUUGAGGCUGGUCCAGACCCACCAAUGGGACGGGGAGAAGAGCAAGCGGUGGGCGGGGGCGCUGGCAGGGGAGGAGAGGGAGCCUUGGGGAGAAACCUGGGGGAGGCAGGGCUGAGGGCAUAGGGCGUUGAGUGAUUUUUGAGGAAAGGCUCUAGAGAAGCGCCGCGUUAAAGUAGGGAGGAGGGCCCCCCGAAACUGGCUGCCCCGGGGCAGGGCCGGUUGACCCGCGCCUGGGAGGAGCCCCGCGUCCCGUCGCGCCGACCCUGGGCUGGCUGCGUGUGCGUCGGGAGUCGAGCCGCCGUACGCACCAGGAAGUGACUCCCAGCGGCAGAGAUCCACGCUGUCCGCUGGCUUUUUCGUUUGCCGCCUCAGUACUAUGAAGUAUUUCUUUGACAGUCUGCAAUGGAGUCCUGCUUUUUGUUUCAUGAAGACUAUCAGGUGGUUCAAGCCAUUCAAAACUGCAGGGCUAUCCGCACGCAGAUUUUUAUUUCCUGCAAGCCCCAUGGUGAAACCACAAGGAACAUCAUUGAGACUAUGCUGUCCUCCAGACUCAGCUAAGAAGCUCUUUGCACCCAGUCCAGUGUCUGGAAUGUGCAGGUGCUCAGAGAGGCAAUAUAGCCUACUGGCCAAGAGGACUGGCUUUGAAAUCUGUCUGACCUGGCCUUGA